AUUUAUGUAGUUUAUAAAAACAUUACAUUUUCACUGUAAAAAUAAAAGUCUCUUUUCAUAAAUA
rnacentral:tRNA from 1 species